rnacentral:rRNA from 1 species
UACGUAGGGUGCGAGCGUUAAUCGGAAUUACUGGGCGUAAAGCGUGCGCAGGCGGCUUUGCAAGACAGAUGUGAAAUCCCCGGGCUCAACCUGGGAACUGCAUUUGUGACUGCAAGGCUAGAGUACGGCAGAGGGGGAUGGAAUUCCGCGUGUAGCAGUGAAAUGCGUAGAUAUGCGGAGGAACACCAAUGGCGAAGGCAAUCCCCUGGGCCUGUACUGACGCUCAUGCACGAAAGCGUGGGGAGCAAACA